GAGCUAGCUUCAGCAGCACAUAUGCUAAAAUUAGAAUGAUACAGAGAAAAUUAGCAUGGCUCUGCACAAGGUGACAUAUAAACAUGAAGUGUUCUGCAUUUGU